rnacentral:rRNA from 1 species
UACGUAGGGUCCGAGCGUUGUCCGGAAUUACUGGGCGUAAAGCGCGCGUAGGUGGCCCCGUAAGUCCGCUGUGAAAGUCAAAGGCUCAACCUUUGAAAGCCGGUGGAUACUGUGGGACUAGAGUACGGAAGAGGCGAGUGGAAUUCCUGGUGUAGCGGUGGAAUGCGCAGAUAUCAGGAGGAACACCAAUAGCGAAGGCAGCUCGCUGGGACGUUACUGACACUGAGGCGCGAAAGCGUGGGGAGCGAACAGG